AUCUGGAGGAACACCAGAGGCGAAGGCGGUUUUCUAGGUUGUCACUGACACUGAGGCUCGAAAGCGUGGGGAGCGAACAGAAUUAGAUACUCUGGUAGUCCACGCCUUAAACUAUGGACACUAGGUAUAGGGAGUAUCGACCCUCUCUGUGCCGAAGCUAACGCUUUAAGUGUCCCGCCUGGGGAGUACGGUCGCAAGGCUAAAACUCAAAGGAAUUGACGGGGGCCCGCACAAGCAGCGGAGCGUGUGGUUUAAUUCGAUGCUACACGAAGAACCUUACCAAGAUUUGACAUGCAUGAAGUAGUGAACCGAAAGGGAAACGACCUGUUAAGUCAGGAGUUUGCACAGGUGCUGCAUGGCUGUCGUCAGCUCGUGCCGNGAGGUGUUUGGUUAAGUCCUGCAACGAGCGCAACCCUUGUUGCUAGUUAAAUUUUCUAGCGAGACUGCCCCGCGAAACGGGGAGGAAGGUGGGGAUGACGUCAAGUCAUCAUGGCCUUUAUAUCUUGGCUCACACACGCUACAAUGGACAGAGCAAUAGGUUGCAACANUGUGAACUGGACUUAUNCCAAAGCUGCCUUAGUUCCNGAUUGCAGGCUUGAACCCGCUGCU
rnacentral:rRNA from 1 species